rnacentral:rRNA from 1 species
AGAGUUUGAUCAUGGCUCAGGACGAACGCUGGCGGCGUGCCUAACACAUGCAAGUCGAACGGAGAUGUUAAGGAAGUUUUACUGAAUUAAUGUCUUAGUGGCGGACGGGUGAGUAACGCGUGGGUGACCUACCCAUAAGAGGGGGAUAACAGUUGGAAACGACUGCUAAUACCGCAUAAGCUGAGUAAUCAGUAAAGGAGGCCUCUGAAAAUGCUUCCGCUUAUGGAUGGGCCCGCGUCUGAUUAGCUGGUUGGUGGGGUAAAGGCCUACCAAGGCGACGAUCAGUAGCCGGCCUGAGAGGGUGAACGGCCACACUGGGACUGAGACACGGCCCAGACUCCUACGGGAGGCAGCAGUGGGGAAUAUUGCGCAAUGGGGGAAACCCUGACGCAGCGACGCCGCGUGAGCGAAGAAGGCCUUAGGGUCGUAAAGCUCUGUUUUAAGGGACGAAUGUCGCGGGUAAUAAUACGAUCUGCGAAUGACGGUACCUUAAGAGGAAGCCCCGGCUAACUACGUGCCAGCAGCCGCGGUAAGACGUAGGGGGCGAGCGUUGUCCGGAAUUACUGGGCGUAAAGAGCACGUAGGCGGGAUUUUAAGUCAGGUGUGAAAGACCGUGGCUCAACCACGGGGUUGCACUUGAAACUGGGAUUCUUGAGGGCAGGAGAGGAAAGUGGAAUUCCUGGUGUAGCGGUGAAAUGCGUAGAAAUCAGGAGGAACACCGGUGGCGAAGGCGACUUUCUGGACUGACCCUGACGCUGAGGUGCGAAAGCGUGGGUAGCAAACAGGAUUAGAUACCCUGGUAGUCCACGCUGUAAACGAUGGAUACUAGGUGUGG